UACGUAGGGUGCGAGCGUUAAUCGGAAUUACUGGGCGUAAAGCGUGCGCAGGCGGUUUUGUAAGUCAGAUGUGAAAGCCCCGGGCUCAACCUGGGAACUGCGUUUGAAACUGCAAGGCUAGAGUGUAGGAGAGGGGGAUAGAAUUCCACGUGUAGCAGUGAAAUGCGUAGAGAUGUGGAGGAAUACCAAUGGCGAAGGCAGCCCCCUGGCCUAACACUGACGCUCAUGCACGAAAGCGUGGGGAGCAAACAGG
rnacentral:rRNA from 1 species